rnacentral:rRNA from 1 species
UACAGAGGUCUCAAGCGUUGUUCGGAUUCAUUGGGCGUAAAGGGUGCGUAGGUGGCGAGGCAAGUCAGAUGUGAAAUCCCGGGGCUCAACCCCGGAACUGCAUUUGAAACUGCCUUGCUCGAGUACUGGAGAGGAGACUGGAAUUUGCGGUGUAGCAGUGAAAUGCGUAGAUAUCGUAAGGAAGACCAGUGGCGAAGGCGAGUCUCUGGACAGUUACUGACACUGAGGCACGAAGGCCAGGGGAGCAAACGGG